CGCGUAGGCGGCUUGCCAAGUCAGUGGUGAAAUCCUGCAGCUUAACUGCAGAAGUGCCUUUGAUACUGGCGAGCUCGAGGGAGGUAGGGGUAUGUGGAACUUCUGGUGAAGCGGUGAAAUGCGUUGAUAUCAGAAGGAACGCCGGUGGCGAAAGCGACGUACUGGACCUCUUCUGACGCUGAGGCGCGAAAGGCUAGGGGAGCAAACG
rnacentral:rRNA from 1 species